GAAAGGACANGAGAGACAAGGNCCUNCCUUAACACAAGCGCCUUCCAGCCUAACAGAUAACCCAACAUCAAUCUGAUAAGCUAUAAACUCAUAACCCCUAGACUAGGGCUA
rnacentral:rRNA from 1 species